rnacentral:rRNA from 1 species
CCUACGGGAGGCAGCAGUGGGGAAUCAUGGUUAAUGGGCGAAAGCCUGAACCUGCGACGCCGCGUGAGUGAUGAAGGUCGUAAGAUCGUAAAACUCUUUUCAGGGAUCUUAACGCACAGCUGUCAACAACAGCUGUGUCUGACUCUCCCUGGAAGAAGCCCCAGCCAACUACGUGCCAGCAGCCGCGGUAAU